AAGACCUUGCACUUUUGGAGCGGCCGAUGUCUGAUUAGCUAGUUGGUGGGGUAAUGGCCUACCAAAGCUUCGAUCAGUAGCUGGUCUGAGAGGACGGCCAGCCACACUGGGACUGAGACACGGCCCAGACUCCUACGGGAGGCAGCAGUGUGGAAUUUUGGACAAUGGGCGCAAGCCUGAUCCAGCCAUGCCGCGUGAGUGAAGAAGGCCUUCGGGUUGUAAAGCUCUUUCAGCCGGGAAGAAAAGGUUGCGACUAAUAAUCGCAAUUCAUGACGGUACCGAAAGAAGAAGCACCGGCUAACUACGUGCCAGCAGCCGCGGUAAUACGUAGGGUGCGAGCGUUAAUCGGAAUUACUGGGCGUAAAGGGUGCGCAGGCGGUUUUGUAAGUCAGAUGUGAAAUCCCCGGGCUUAACCUGGGAACU
rnacentral:rRNA from 1 species